rnacentral:rRNA from 1 species
UACGAAGGGGGCUAGCGUUGCUCGGAAUCACUGGGCGUAAAGCGCACGUAGGCGGCUUUCUAAGUCAGGGGUGAAAUCCUGGAGCUCAACUCCAGAACUGCCUUUGAUACUGGAGAUCUCGAGUCCGGAAGAGGUGAGUGGAACUCCGAGUGUAGAGGUGAAAUUCGUAGAUAUUCGGAAGAACACCAGUGGCGAAGGCGGCUCACUGGUCCGGUACUGACGCUGAGGUGCGAAAGCGUGGGGAGCAAACAGG